GACGAACGCUGGCGGCGUGCCUAAUACAUGCAAGUAGGCCGCAGUUGCGAACGGGUGAGUAACGCGUAGGUAACUGCCUAUUAGAGGGGGAUAACUAUUGGAAACGAUAGCUAAUACCGCAUACUAGUAGAUGGACCUGCGUUGUAUUAGCUAGUAGGUAGGGUAAUGGCGUACAUAGGCAACGAUACAUAGCCGACCUGGGAGGGUGAUUGGCCACUCUGGGAAUGAGGCACGGCCCAUACGCCUACGGGAGGUCGCAGCAGUGAAACUUCGGCAAUGGGGGGAACCCUGACCCAGCAACGCCGCGUGAAUGAAGAAGGUUUUCGGAGCGUAAAGCUCUGUUGUUAAGGAAGCGGUACUUAACCAGAAAGGGACGGCUAACUACGUGCCAGCAGCCGCGGUAAUUC
rnacentral:rRNA from 1 species